rnacentral:lncRNA from 1 species
ACAUUGCUCUUCCUCUCUCGCACGCCCGCCACUCGCCAUUCUCCUCCCCCGCCUUCUUCUUCGCCACUUUUGUCGCCUCCCCAUAGCUAUGGCGUCGAAGAGAAGCGCUACCGCUGCUGGACCACGGGCGGAAUCGGCGUUAUUGCCCUCUAUCGUCCGAAACCUGGAGGCGCUGCAGGAGCUCGCCACGCUAACGGUCAGUGCCCAUAAUAAAAGAAAAGCAGAAGAAAUAAAAAAGGGAAAACAAAAGAAAAACCCCUUGCCCCUGGGCCUUAGGCCAAAAGGACAGGCCUAGCCGAGCAAACCCCUCGGUCGUCCCCCACCUCGCUACAGUGGGGCGGCCGAGGGCUAGCACCUAUGCGUCACCGCCGAACAGAUCUGGCCAAACGGGCCAUGUAACUGGGCCGGCCCGAUAGCCCACGUGUCUGGCACGACACGGGCCCAACCCGACACGGGCUAAUCGUGCUCGGGUCCGACACGAAGCACGCAUCGGGCCGUGCCUGAGCCUGGAGGCUGGGCACGCGGGCCGGCACGACAUGACCCAUUUACCAUUUUUUUUGUAUAUAUAUAAGAUAAAAAGCCCAAUAGGUCAAAAUCAACCCAAAAAACAGCCCACUAUGUCAAAAUCGGCCCAAAUAAUAGCCGCACACGUCGAAAUCGGCCUAAAUAACGGCCUAAAAUACUAAAAUCCUAGCAAGCAAACGGGCCUGGAGUGCCGACGGGUCGUCCUGUAUAGCCCCGUGUCGUGCUUGGGCUUGGACCCUGGGCACGUGGGCCGGCACAGCACGGCCCGUUUAAUAAACGUGCCUCGGCGGGUCGUGUCGUGCCAGGCACGAUUCUGGC